GAUGAACGCUGGCGGCGUGCCUAAUACAUGCAAGUCGAGCGAACAGAUGAGGAGCUUGCUCCUCUGACGUUAGCGGCGGACGGGUGAGUAACACGUGGAUAACCUACCUAUAAGACUGGGAUAACUUCGGGAAACCGGAUCUAAUACCGGAUAAUAUAUUGAACCGCAUGGUUCAAUAGUGAAAGACGGUUUUGCUGUCACUUAUAGAUGGAUCCGCGCCGCAUUAGCUAGUUGGUAAGGUAACGGCUUACCACGGCAACGAUGCGUAGCCGACCUGAGAGGGUGGUCGGCCACACUGGAACUGAGACACGGUCCAGACUCCUACGGGAGGCAGAAGUAGGGAAUCUUCCGCAAUGGGCGAAAGCCUGACGGAGCAACGCCGCGUGAGUGAUGAAGGUCUUCGGAUCGUAAGACUCUGUUAUUAGGGAGGAACAAAUGUGUAAGUAACUAUGCACGUCUUGACGGUACCUUAUCAGAAAGCCACGGCUAACUACGUG
rnacentral:rRNA from 1 species